rnacentral:rRNA from 1 species
UACGUAGGGUGCAAGCGUUGUCCGGAAUUAUUGGGCGUAAAGAGCGUGUAGGCGGCCCGAUUAGUCCGCUGUGAAAGUCCAGGGCUUAACCCUGGAAUGCCGGUGGAAACUGUCGGGCUAGAGUCCGGAAGGGGCGAGUGGAAUUCCUGGUGUAGCGGUGAAAUGCGCAGAUAUCAGGAGGAACACCAAUGGCGAAGGCAGCUCGCUGGGACGUGACUGACGCUGAGACGCGAAAGCGUGGGGAGCAAACAGG